UACGUAGGGUGCAAGCGUUGCCCGGAUUUAUUGGGCGUAAAGGGCGCGUAGGCGGCUCUGCACGUUCGUUGUGAAAUCGCCCGGCUCAACUGGGCGGGGUCAGCGGAUACGGCAGAGCUUGAGCAAGCUAGGGGGCAAUGGAAUUCCCGGUGUAGUGGUGGAAUGCGUAGAUAUCGGGAGGAACACCAGUGGCGAAGGCGGCUACCUGGACCAGCACUGACACUGAGGCACGAAAGCGUGGGGAGCAAACAGG
rnacentral:rRNA from 1 species